rnacentral:miRNA from 1 species
CCCAGUUAAAUUUGAAUUUCACAUCAACAAUGAAAGAUUUUUAGUAUAUGUGUGCCAUGUGCAAUACUUGGGACAUAUUUAUACUAAAAGUAUUUGUUGUGUGUUGGAAAUUGAAAUUUA